CCGCAUAUCUCUACAGAGUAUAGCGGAGGUCGUCGGACCUCGCGCCAUUGGAGCAGCCGCUGUCCGAUUAGUUUGACGGCGAAGUAACAGCCCACCGUGGCUACAAUCGGUAGCUGGUCUGAGAGGAUGAUCAGCCACACCGGGACUGAGACACGGCCCGGACUCCUACGGGAGGCAGCAGUGGGGAAUAUUGGACAAUGGGGGCAACCCUGAUCCAGCGAUGCCGCGUGUGUGAAGAAGGCCUUCGGGUUGUAAAGCACUUUCGCGGGGGAAGAAACUUCGCGCUCUAACAUAGCGCGGCACUGACGGUACCCCGAGAAGAAGCGCCGGCUAACUCCGUGCCAGCAGCCGCGGUAAUACGGAGGGCGCAAGCGUUAAUCGGAAUGACUGGGCGUAAAGCGUGCGCAGGCGGCCGCGAAAGUCGGAUGUGAAAGCCCCGGGCUCAACCCGGGAACUGCGUUCGAAACUCCGCGGCUCGAGUCCGGCAGAGGAAGGUGGAAUUCCGCGUGUAGCGGUGAAAUGCGUAGAGAUGCGGAAGAACACUAAUGGCGAAGGCAUCCUUCUGGGCCGGCACUGACGCUGAGGCACGAAAGNCGUGGGUAGCAAACAGCGAUUAUGAUACCACUGGUAGUC
rnacentral:rRNA from 1 species